rnacentral:rRNA from 1 species
UGCUACUUUGCUGACGAGUGGCGGACGGGUGAGUAAUGCUUGGGAAUAUGCCUUAUGGUGGGGGACAACAGUUGGAAACGACUGCUAAUACCGCAUAACAUCUCCGGAUCAAAGUGGGGGACCUUCGGGCCUCACGCCAUAAGAGUAGCCCAAGUGGGAUUAGCUAGUUGGUAAGGUAAUGGCUUACCAAGGCGACGAUCCCUAGUUGGUCUUAGAGGAUGACCAGCCACACUGGAACUGAGACACGGUCCAGACUCCUACGGGAGGCAGCAGUGGGGAAUAUUGCACAAUGGGCGCAAGCCUGAUGCAGCCAUGCCGCGUGUGUGAAGAAGGCUUUCGGGUUGUAAAGCACUUUCAGCGAGGAGGAAAGGGUAUAUUUUAAUAGAGCAUAUCUGUGACGUUACUCGCAGAAGAAGCACCGGCUAACUCCGUGCCAGCAGCCGCGGUAAUACGGAGGGUGCGAGCGUUAAUCGGAAUUACUGGGCGUAAAGCGCGCGUAGGCGGUUAAUUAAGUCAGAUGUGAAAUCCCAGGGCUCAACCUUGGAACUGCAUUUGAAACUGGUUAACUAGAGUUUUGUAGAGGGUGGUAGAAUUUCAGGUGUAGCGGUGAAAUGCGUAGAGAUCUGAAGGAAUACCAGUGGCGAAGGCGGCCACCUGGACAAAGACUGACGCUGAGGCGCGAAGGCGUGGGGAGCAAACGGGAUUAGAUACCCCGGUAGUCCACGCAGUAAACGAUGUCUAUUAGAAUUUUGUGGCUAUAUGCCGUGGGAUUCAAAGCUAACGCAUUAAAUAGAC